rnacentral:rRNA from 1 species
AUGGCCGCCGGCUGGUCCUCCCUCCCCGCCGAUAUUCUCAAUGAGAUCUCGGGUCGCCUGAACACCGACGCAGACCAGCUCCACGCCCACCAGGUAUGCGCCCACUGGCGAGCCUCAAUUUCUCCUCCGGUCGCCUACCGCCCGUGGGUCGUCGCCGCCCGACAGGCCCCCGACGGACUGAGCCCAGUCGGCGAGUACUCCCUCCAGCUCCCUCGCGGCGUCCCGGGCGUCGACUUCAAGGCGGCCCCACCCGGCCUCCCGUACUGCUGCGGCACGCCUCGCGGCUGGCUCGCCCUUGCGGACGAUGUCCGAUCCCCCACGCGGCUCGUGCUGUGGGAGCCCCACUCCGGCACCGAGAUCCCGCUUCCAUGCCUGUCUUCAGUCAUACAGGUCUUCCUUUCCGACGACCCGCUCGAGUCGUCGCACUGGAUGGCCGUCGCGACCCAGCUCAGACGGCCCCGGGCGCAUAUCAUCUUCUUCUGGCGGCCCGGGGACGCCGCCUGGAGCGGCCCGGCCAAGGUUCCUUGUGCAAAACUCCACAGCGUCGAAUUCCACGCGGGGAACAUAUACUGCAUAGACCGCAUGUCUAACCUGUCCAUCUACGAUCUCAAGCUCGGCACAACGUCUCCUCCCGUGCUCCUCGAGUGCUUGGGCAUGUCCCCUAGUCAGUUGUCAGAGUCGUUGGUUACCCGCAUGUCUGUCAAGGAACGCGUGCGUGCAGUGCACGUCGUGGCCUGCCGUGGCGAGCUCCUGCUAGUGCUGCUGUUCCACGGCCGCCACCCGUCCCUCAUGGAAGUCUACAGGCCGUCGUGGACGCUCGGAUGCGCCUUCCAGGUCGGUGAGAGGGUGACUGACCUCGGCGGCUACACGCUCUUCCUCGGCCGUGGCGACGCAGUUGCACUGUCUGCCAAGGAGUACCCUGCGAUCAGGGGGAAUUGCAUUUACUACCUGGUGCACAAUCUCCCCAAGUACAGGAAGCAUUGGGCAAUCGUGUUUGAUCUGGGGACGGGGGAUGUGGACGAUAUACCUUACCCUGAGGUGCACAAGCAGGAGAAUGGUUGCUGGCCAUACUCUUGGUUCUGUCCUCGAAGGCCCUUCCUGAAGAAGCAGUUAGCUUGA